rnacentral:hammerhead_ribozyme from 1 species
AUCUGUCUGACGAGCCUUAAAUAGGACGAAACGCGCGUCUUGGAU